GAUGAACGCUGGCGGCGUGCUUAACACAUGCAAGUCGAACGGUGAAGCAGGAGCUUGCUCCUGUGGAUCAGUGGCGAACGGGUGAGUAACACGUGAGCAAUCUGCCCUGGACUCUGGGAUAAGCGUUGGAAACGACGUCUAAUACCGGAUACGAGGCGUGGGGGCAUCCCCAACGCCUGGAAAGAACUUCGGUCCAGGAUGAGCUCGCGGCCUAUCAGGUAGUUGGUGAGGUAACGGCUCACCAAGCCUACGACGGGUAGCCGGCCUGAGAGGGUGACCGGCCACACUGGGACUGAGACAUGGCCCAGACUCCUACGGGAGGCAGCAGUGGGGAAUAUUGCACAAUGGGCGCAAGCCUGAUGCAGCAACGCCGCGUGAGGGACGACGGCCUUCGGGUUGUAAACCUCUUUUAGCAGGGAAGAAGCGAAAGUGACGGUACCUGCAGAAAAAGCACCGGCUAACUACGUGCCAGCCGCCGCAGUAAUAC
rnacentral:rRNA from 1 species